rnacentral:lncRNA from 1 species
CUGACUAGUGACCUUGAGGGUGCCAUCAUGACGUUCCAUUGCGUGGAAGACAGAAUUAAUUGCAAGUUAUCUCUGUCAUGGAACCUGUUUUGUCUUAAAGGUCUUGAAGAAAGGCAAAUGCUGAGAUGACCUCAAAAGGAAGGUCUAGAGUCCCAUCUGGUCCUGAUGAAGACUAUCAGAACAAAACACUGCUCUACUUGAAUCUAUCACUGCUGACAUGGUUCAACAAAAGGCUCUAUUUGUACUGUGCUCAGAUUGUUUAGCAAGGACGAGCCUUGUGGAGGGAUGGGAUAGGCUACGCGG